AUAAAAUAGAGUCUUAAGUUAACAUAAACUUCGGGUCUUCAAAAUCCGAUAUACUGAUAAGGUA
rnacentral:tRNA from 1 species